UUACACGGUGCGACCUCUCACUCCCGGUCCAGCGCCCACGCCAACCUCGGCCGUCGGCUCCGCCUGCAAGCCCACGCGCCUCUCCCGCACCGCCGCCUGCCUUCGCCUCCUCCGCGGAGAGGAGAGCACGGCCAGCUAACCUACAGCGGCCUACCCCAACGUCCGGAUCGAGCCCCGUCCUGCCCCGACAGCGCCCCCUGUCCGGAUCGAGCAACUGGUCUCGGCGGCGGCGGGAUUGUUCUGGGCGGCGACGGGAGGCAAGCUGCAGAAGAGGGAGACGCGGAAGGGAAGAGGUGGACACGGGAGAAUAUGCGAGAUCCAUUUAAUGCACCGGUCGAUUUCAUCGAUGCGGAUCAUCGUGCUGGGAAUGAGCUCACCAGGACUAAUGUGACCUUGUCUGUCAGAGACUAUGGCUUGCAAAAUGGUGAUGCUAAACCCUUCAUUCCGAACUCCGACACACUAGUCAGGAAUCAGCUCCAGGGUGCAUCCCUCCACAAUGACUUAAUUGCAGAAGAUCCUAAUACUCGUUUGAUGGAUCCUGAAACCAAGGAGCUUUACUUUAGAUCAAGGACGCAAGAGGAAGAGAUCUUGCUGCUUCGCAAGCAAAUUGCUGACGCAUCUCUCAAGGAGCUGCAGUUGCUGAGUGAAAAACAUAUACUGGAGAGAAAGCUUUCAGACUUGAGGAUGGCUGUUGAUGAGAGGCAGGAAGACGCUAUAUCUGGUGCUUUGAAGCAACUGAGCGAGAAGAAAAACCACCUUGAAGAAAAUAUGAGAUUGGGAAAUGAUUUAAAAGCUGAGGAAGAAGAGCUUUACUUGUUCACUUCUUCAUUGCUUGGUAUGUUAGCAGAAUACAAUGUUCGCCCACCUCAAAUAUAUGCUUCGACCAUUACAACUGUUACAAAGCGCUUGUACCAACAGAUGCAAUGGAAGAUUAGAUCUUUAAAUGACAGUUUAGGCAAUAUAGCUCAACCUGGAAACAUAUAUAAUCCCAAUCAUCAAGAAGCAACUCCGUCGAGAAACGGUCCUUCAUCACCCUACAAUGUGGAGCCAAAUAGGAGCACUUUCCCUCAGUAUGCUCAAGAUCCAAAUGAUCGACAUGCUGAAUACCAAGGAUCCACUUAUAACCAGGAUAUAGUAGCUACUGCCCCCUCUAAUUAUUUUGAAGAAAAUGCUGGUCCUCGAGAAGCAAGAAUAGAUGAGGACUCACAGUUCUAUAGGAAUGAUAAUCAAGAGUACUCGGCUGAUGGUGAUCCAUUGCCUGGUAUUGAGGGAUUUCAAAUUGUUGGCGAUCCUAGACCAGGAUCUACUUUAAGGGCAUGUGGUUUCCCUACGAAUGGUACUACACUUUGUAAUUUCCAGUGGGUUCGCUGUCUUGAAAAUGGCACCAGGCAAUCUAUUGAAGGUGCUACGAUGUAUGAUUUUGUGGUUACUGCAGAUGAUGUUGGCACUCUUCUUGCUGUAGACUGCACUCCUAUGGAUGAUAAUGGCCGCCAGGGUGAUUUGGUGAGGGAGUAUGCUAAUGGUGGGAACAAGAUAGCCUGUGAUCCAGAAAUGCAGAAUGACAUAAAUAUAUAUAUUUCGAAGGGGAGAGCUGACUUUGAUGUUUAUGUCCUGGUUAGUCGACUGCCUACAAUGCCAGUAAUUCCGUCUGUUCCAUGGUGUGACGAAAUGAAAGGUUUGAUCAAGCAACAUCCAAAAGUCGAGGCUGACAUCUGCCUUCCUUUGCACAGCCAGGGUAUUCACCUGAUGAAUGGGAACAAGCCACGUUGGUGCUUAGACGAACUGGGUAUCAAAUCAACUUCGGCCAUAAGGAUGAAGCUGGAAUUGAUGAGAAAUAUUCACCAAACGUACAGACAAAAAUACCCAAUGGGCGAACUACUCAGUUUGUUUUAGUAAGUUCUGGGGGUGUAAAUGUGCCAUUUAACACACAGGGAAUAUCGGAGCCACAAAAUGAGGAUAAUGAUGUUAGGCUACGUGAUCUAAUCGUAUUGGUCAUGAGGACUUUCCAGAACAAGGCAUUAGAUGCUAAAAGGAAAGGCAAGGCUUAGAUGUGUAAAAAAAAAGAGUGAUUCUCGUCUAGAAGAAUUUUGCUCAUUAUUUUGUGCAGUGUUCAUUGUUUGCCUCGAGGUGAAAGAUUGUCCCAAGCAUUCUAAGAUUUAUCUAGAGGCAUGGAGCUACAGAAAAGGGUUGGGUAGUCUUGUAGGUUAACUUGUGUAUAAAUACAAUAAUUUUCUGUAGCUUCUUUUUUUCCUUCUUCCCAUUUUUCUCUCCUUCACAUUCGUUUUAUCUCUCGAUUGCCCCCUCUAGGUUAUUAGUCACAGGAAUUGUACUUGUUGGUAAAAUUUGAGCAAAAGCCAAUUAAUGUAAUGAAUUGCUGCUGUGUUAUAUGGUAGAGAUUAGUUUACCAGUAACAGCUGCUGAUAUUGUC